UUUACAGUGAAAAGAAGGUUGGGUCGAGUUCCUCAUGUUUUCUCACGCGAAUAUGACCCUCUUUGACUAAUUAUACGUGAAAGUGGUUGUUUUUGAGGUCCGAGUGAAUGACAUCACGUUCCGCUAGAAAGUCUCAAAAGACUGUGUUCCCUGAGAGUAGCAUGCAUUCCACUCUUGAGGCAAAACUUGCACCAGUCACAACUGUAGAUGACAGUCAUGCUACAUAAGCCUAAGUGAUUCUUGAGUUCAUGAACUUUCGCUGCCGCAAGUUCAUCCCAACAAGUGUGUUUGUUGGACAUGAAGAGAAUGAAGAAGAGGGUGCGGCAAACUCUCACAAACUUCAUGGCCAAGAACACAAGAAGGUUGGUCUUUUUUGAACUGCUUCCUUAUUUAUAAGCUCAUGUUUCUAAAGAGUUGCACAUUUAUCAGCUGUUUUUCCAUGCAUAUUUUUUACCCCUUUUUUCCCCCCUUUGUUUCUUUGGUUCUUUUUCAGUCUCUUUUUUUCAUGGGAGUACAGAAAAAUUACAAGUCAUAUGACCAAAGUAAAACAGCUGAUUGUCAGAAGUUGCUGUCAUGAAAUGAUUUUCAUCAUGGCGUGAUUCUGGUAUGCAAGCAAAUUGAUGGAAAAUGUACAUUGUUUGUGAAAUGAAUU